rnacentral:rRNA from 1 species
GUCUAUGAUCAUAUCCCCCUGAACACACCUGGGCUCUUCUGAUCUUGGAAGCUAAGCAGAGUCAGACCAGGUUAAUGCUUGAAUCAGAGAGA